rnacentral:rRNA from 1 species
GGAGGAUCCAAGCGUUAUCCGGAUUUAUUGGGUUUAAAGGGUGCGUAGGCGGCUUAUUAAGUCAGGGGUGAAAGACGGUGGCUCAACCAUCGCAGUGCCUUUGAUACUGAUGAGCUUGAAUGAACUAGAGGUAGGCGGAAUGUGACAAGUAGCGGUGAAAUGCAUAGAUAUGUCACAGAACACCGAUUGCGAAGGCAGCUUACUAUGGUUUUAUUGACGCUGAGGCACGAAAGCGUGGGGAUCAAACAGGAUUAGAUACCCUGGUAGUCCACGCCCUAAACGAUGAAUACUCGCUGUUAGCGAUAUACAGUUAGCGGCUAAGCGAAAGCGUUAAGUAUUCCACCUGGGGAGUACGCCCGCAAGGGUG